UACGUAGGGCGCAAGCGUUGUCCGGAAUUAUUGGGCGUAAAGAGCUCGUAGGCGGCCAGUUGCGUCUGCUGUGAAAUCCCGGGGCUCAACCCCGGGCGUGCAGUGGAUACGGGCUGGCUAGAGGCAGGCAGGGGAGAACGGAAUUCCCGGUGUAGCGGUGAAAUGCGCAGAUAUCAGGAGGAACACCGGUGGCGAAGGCGGGUCUCUGGGCCGUAACUGACGCUGAGGAGCGAAAGCAUGGGGAGCGAACAGG
rnacentral:rRNA from 1 species